rnacentral:rRNA from 1 species
GACGAACGCUGGCGGCGUGCUUAACACAUGCAAGUCGAGCGGAGAGGCGAACGGGUGAGUAACGCGUGAGUAACUGCCCCCCUCUCUGGGAUAACAGUUGGAAACGGCUGCUGAUACCGGAUAGUGGGGGAUGACUCGCGUCCUAUCGGCUUGUUGGUGGGGUAGUGGCCUACCAAGGGUACGACGGGUAGCCGGCCGGAGAGGGCGACCGGACACAUUGGGCUCAGUUACGGCCCAAACUCUGACGGUAUGAAGCAGUGGGGAAUAGUGCACAAUUGGGGAAACCCUGAUGCAGCAACGCCGCGUGCGGGAUGACUGCCGUCUGGUUGUAACCCGCUUUCAGCCAUGACGCGGUAUUGGCAGAAGAAGCACCGGCUAACUACGUGCCAGCAGCCGCGGUAAUUC